rnacentral:rRNA from 1 species
AACGAACGCUGGCGGCAGGCCUAACACAUGCAAGUCGAGCGCCCUGCAAGGGGAGCGGCGGACGGGUGAGUAACGCGUGGGAAUUUUUCCUGGAGUACGGAACAACCGAGGGAAACUUCGGCUAAUACCGUAUGAUGCCGAGAGGCCAAAGAUUUAUCGCUCUGGGGUGAGCCCGCGUCAGAUUAGGUAGUUGGUGGGGUAAUGGCCUACAAGCCUGCGAUCUGUAGCUGGUCUGAGAGGACGAUCAGCCACACUGGGACUGAGACACGGCCCAGACUCCUACGGGAGGCAGCAGUGGGGAAUAUUGGACAAUGGGCGAAAGCCUGAUCCAGCGAUGCCGCGUGUGUGAAGAAGGCCUGCGGGUU